GCGUCUGACCUAAUUUUUCUUUUCGUAUCUUGAAUCGGUGCAGAGAACCGAAUCAAGAUCUCAUCAUCUUCUCCAUCAGUAAAACAAUCCCUCCAAUCAAUUUUCUUCGUCUCAACCAUAACUUUCCAAUUGAAACUCGAAAAAGCUUCACGCCCACUCGCAAACCUCUUCGUAUCACCCAUCGGCGGCGCUUUCCUCCCUCCACCAACAGAUCUAGUCUCGUCGAAUGGCUCAAAAUGAUUCAUUAAUUGUCGAUCUGUUCUCAAAAUGCUCAAACAUGUUGAAUAUAGGAAGGGCUGGUGUUCCUAUGGAGGUUAUGGGUUUGAUGUUGGGAGAGUUUGUGGAUGAGUAUAUUGUUCGCGUUGUUGAUGUGUUUGCUAUGCCGUAGAGUGGGACUGGUGUUAGUGUUGAAGCUGUUGAUCAUGUUUUUCAAACUAAUAUACUUGAUAUGUUGAAACAAACUGGAAGUUGCCAGUAUUGGCUGGAGAUUUUUUUCUUUCCCGGGCUUGUGUCACUUUGGCCUCUUUAAAGAACACAGAGGUUGUUUCUAUGUUGGCAAAAGUUUUAGAACAUAUUGUAACAGGGGAGAUUAUGCAAAUGACUGCAACAUCUGAUCAACGGUGUAGUCAUGUGCAAGCGGCGUAUGCGAGUUUCCUUUGGGACGCAGAGGAAGAUGAGGAUGCAGGUUUUUAUGAGGAUGAAGGAAAAUGAGGAUGCAGGUUCUGAUGAGGAUGCAGGAAGAUUAGGAUGCAGUUUCACCUUUGUUGUGUUGGUUGUUGAUUUUGUACCAACUGUUUCAGUUUUGCACGGGCUAACUAGUGACCCAUUAUGGGAUGGAUUGGAUUGAUACCGAAAGAAGUAUAAGCGAGUAAGCGUACAAACAAUAAAGUGAAAAUUGGUGAUCUUAGAGUAGCUGCAAUUCUCCAAGGCUCUCAAUCAGCUCAUAGUGUUAUAGGUUAUAAACCCACUUUGGCCAUGAAGAGAUCUUUGAAAAGAAUCAAUUUAGGGAAGGUUGUACCCACUAGCUGUUUCCACUGGCUGUUUGAGACUGAACCGCAACCAUAUACUAUACCUUUGAACUCAUUAGUAAUGGUGUAAAACUAUUAGUAGCUCUGUAUUUGGUUUUGUCUUCACACUAGAAGUACAUUUAUGAUACUUUCAUGAUCACAUAAUCUAAUGCUAGAAUUGUAUUUAUAAAACAUGGUUGGUGUUAAGUGUUUUAUCUAAUUUGUUUUCAACACAUGUAUACAAUUCUUGUUUAUUUUAUAUUUUGAUCAUAAAGUUUAGAUCAACAUUUAGGUCUGUUAGUUCCAAACCGUGGCCUACUUGAAUGGUGUAAAACCGUGUGUAAUACUUAACCGCGGUUUUAAUUAGUAGCCAUAAACAAACCAUGGCAAGACCUAGGCAACUAAAUUGUAUGUUAUACAUUAAAUGAGAACUGUGGUCUUACGAUCUGGCCACAAUUUAAAACCGAGGCGAAAGAUAAAUUGCGGCCUUAAUCUAGAUACCUAAAUCGUGGCCUAUACAAGCCACUGAUGUCCAUAAAACGUGGCACAAAAAAGAAAACUAUGGAUUAUACUUUAGGCCACGCCCGCAUAUCCCACAGUUAGUUUUCUGUGGCCAAAGUGUUACACAACGGUUAUUUUGCAUAUAGCCGCGAUUUUGUGUCCGUGGCAGGUGACCUUUUUUU